AUUCUUUUCAAAUGUAUAAUUGUUUCACUGCCUUUUGCCUUUUCUUGAAAAAAAACAUUUUAAUUGUUGUUUUGCUAAGCAUGAGUUUACAGCUUUCUUGUGUUGUCAUAAAAUACCAUGUUAAACUGAGGCUCAUUAAUAAUGCAUCUUUGUAGUUCAUUUGAUGCCUGGGCUCUGUGCUGCUCACUGUUGUGAUGGUUACAUCAGCACAAAACACAAAAACCAGAAGGGUGACUUUUAACAAAGGUAAAUGUUACUGUUACAGUGACUUUUAGCAAAGAACCAUUUCACAGUACUUGGAAUUUUAAUGACUGUGAGUAGACCAGUUUUUCAAUACGCAUUUUUAAAACAUUAAAUGGACAUACACACUACAUUUAUGCUAAGGUAACCAAUAAUACAGAGACACAGACAAUGUCAUUGUUGGCUACAUCUACUAAUAAACUCUGGUUGAAAAACUACUCUAGAAACGUUUUAAGCUCUAAUUAGUUGUCAAAAACUAUACACCACAACUGAUGGAUUUGUAUUAGUAACAGAUACUAACAGAUGAAAAGGUAUUUCUGUGCUAAUGGAAAUCUAGUUCAACAAAUAAAGAAAUCUUAAUGCUUUAUGUUUUUACUCAGUUGAACAUAGAAAGGAAAUGUGGAAAGAUGCUGGUUCAUAUUAUAUAGCAGAAUGUUGUACCUAAGCACUGUUGUUACUUAAUUAGUGAAUAUAAAAUUAACAAAAUACAAGCCUCCCAACUGUUCAGAUUUUAGAGGGUCAGUUCCUAUUUUAGGGUUCUGUCCACCAUCCCAUCUUUGUUCGCUGGUUUCGUGCUUUUGGGGACACCUGGAAUCACAUCAUUAGGCACUUGUGCUAUGCUCAGAGCACUACGUUUGCAGAUAACACCUAAUCAAUGCUUCCUGCAUUGCCAGCCCUUGGUGGGUUGGUCUGAUUGACAUGUAUUCAUGCCAUGUUAAACUGGCAGUUCUUUGGGAGGACUAGCCCCCAUUCCAGGUGAAUCUGCUCCUUUUGGUAGUGCUAGUGACAUAAUUCACACUCA